rnacentral:rRNA from 1 species
UACAGAGGGUGCAGGCGUUAAUCGGAAUUACUGGGCGUAAAGCGUGUGUAGGUGGUUUUCUAAGUCGAACGUGAAAUCCCCGGGCUCAACCCGGGAACUGCGUCCGAGACUGGAAGGCUUGAAUCCGGGAGAGGGAUGUGGAAUUCCAGGUGUAGCGGUGAAAUGCGUAGAUAUCUGGAGGAACAUCGGUGGCGAAGGCGGCAUCCUGGACCGGUAUUGACACUGAGAGACGAAAGCUAGGGGAGCAAAUGGG